CUUAAUAAUCAUUUAAUAAUGUGUGUAAUAUGAGACAAACAAUGAAAAGUUAUUGAAAAUAUAUUGAAAAUGAUAAAAUUAUUUAUAGCCUGAAUGCACUGUAAGUCGCUUUGGAUAAAAGCAUCUGCUAAAUGCAUAAAUGUAAAUGAAAAGGCACAAAACAAAAGCACUAUUGUGAUGUGGCAACAGUUCAUAAACUUAAUGCAUCCAUGCCAGAAGGUGUCAGUAGUAUGAGGUAGUAUAAGGUGUCAAAGUAUAUUGGGAUGAAGAAGUGUUGGAUGCUGCAUUGAUGAUUUAUUUAUUUUUUGUAGGCCAACCCAGAAGUUAGCAUUGCCCUGGUUCCCUUUGUCACAGGUCGGAGCGGACCACAGAUGUCGUGAGUCACGCCCCUUCCUAGUUUCCACCUCGAGGAGGUCCCAAGAACACCCCAAUGACCAGACCACGAGAGCCGGUAAGUAAAUUAAAACAAACUUUAUUAAAUUACUAAAAAAAGGGUAUGGGGAAGGGAGGCUAAAAUCCAACUCUCCUUUUGGAGAGUAACAGUCUCGAGUCUCUUAGACUCCGUCACGGGAGAUCUCAGGUGAGUCCUUCACUCCUCUUUCCUUCUGGCUAUGUGACGACAAUCAGCUUAUUCACAAGUGCCCCUUUGUUCUGGCUUGCAGGACGACUGUCCAGGGCCCUCUCCUUUCCUGGACGUAACAGAUACAAGUGGUAAGUAUUGAGAGUUCGGAUGCACAAUGGAUACCUGCUGCUACUUUUGACGAACUCCAAGGCGACCCAGCGGAUUAUACUCCCGGUCGUCCAGAUGCUGGGGGAACUGCCCAAGGGCUGCCGGGAUCCAACUAAAACCGUACUGGUAAGUGUACGGGAGGGGGUUUCCACGGUCUCUGUAUCCUGAGUGACGAGUCGACAUGCAGGUAGACGCUUCAAAGGGACCCGCUAGAUCUGCACAAGAGCAUAAAGGUAAGUGUAACAGGACUGGACACGGAUAGUGGACAGAGGGGCCGCUGGCUCUUCACUCGGGGGCACAAGUAAGUCCGUAGGAAAGACAACUGGGGCUUCACUUGAGCAUACAGGCGAGUGUACAACACAAUAUGCUGGCCUUAGCUUUGGGCAUAGGGUAAGUACAUCAAAUGUAACUGGGACUUCACUUGGGCAUACACGCGAGUGUACAACACAAUAUGCUGGCUUUAGCUUUGGGCAUAAAGGUAAGUACAUCCAAUAUAACUGGGACUUCACUCUGGGCGACAGGCNNNNNNNNNNNNNNNNNNNACCCCGUCUGACCAAAGACUCUUCCUGGAAGUCGUGAAGACACUGAUGCCACGAAUAUUCAGAUUUAAACGUUGCCGCCACAACACCCCAACAUCCUCUCUCGCUCACUGGUCCCGGCUCACCCACAAUCCUCCUCCACGGUGGGGCCGCUCACAUACUAUGCCACAAACUCACAAAACGCUCACAGAUAGUUCACUCUAGAUGAUUAUACUGCUGUACGAUGGUUUAGGGUACUCACACCGUUACUAACUCGAGGUCUCUUUUCCCUCUUCUUUCCAGCUCCUGGAUACUUCUCCUGCUGCCACGUGCCCUGUCGAAAAGGCCUCCUUCGGCGAUACUUCCGGUGAGUCUUCCUGUUUUCAACCACUCAGAAUUUUUUACACAUGUCCAUGGAGCAUUUCACAGUUAAGUAGACAUCCCAAUAUACUCAGCCCGGUUUCUGUUUCUGCCAAACCCUUGUCUCCGUCUUUGCCCAGCCAACAAUAUUCUCUGCCUUCUUUCCACUGUACUCGCCCGAACACUCCAACUCACUCGCCAUAUCAGCUGAAAUAAAACAAAGAACUUCCUCCUCCUUCUGCA
ensembl:lncRNA